UAGGUCAGCAGCUGACUUUGAACUUCAGGAUCAUCAUUGCAGAGGUCAUGAGGAGGUACUUUGAGUAAGCACAAGUUACCCUUUUCGACAAAGGCAAAUCUUUGAAAGGACACAGAGACCCAAAAGAUAUGGCCCCAGAAGUAGGUGAGGCAAGAGGAAACUUGAUGUGAGCUGUAAAGAACAAAAACCAUUACCUGCAGAAGAAUAUGUUCGACACACUGCUUUUGGCUUUAAAUUGUACAGAGUAUCUAGAAGGAUAUGAAAGACUGUCGUAACACCAGAUGAGUGCUGUUGGCAGCGUUGGUCAGAGACACUUCUUUAAACAGCGCACUGGCCAGAGUGCUGAGACUAUGUGCCUGUUGAAAAUGCUCAGCCAUCCGUGAGACACCUUUAUCGCCCUCUCCCAGGCUCAGAAGACAAGAACACUAGUGCAGAAGGAUUGGGUAGAACAUUGUAGAAUGCUACCUUCUGCUCAUGGCACGACCUUUGUAUUCUUCAACUCAUAGCUGCUAGGAUUACCUGCACAAGAUGGAGCCUAUCAACAUCCAAUCAUGGAGCAGGGAGGGCCUUCUGAGGCUCCACCCACCCCUGAAGAUCUAUAGGCAAUUAAUGGCUCCUGGUGAAGAGAGUCAUUUUCUGUUGUGGUGUAGCCAGUGGUGAGAUGUUCAUGCUUCUGUAAGUCACCUUUCACUCACCUAUAGGCAAACCUAAUGAAACUG